rnacentral:tRNA from 1 species
CGCCGGCGCGGGCGCCCGUCGGCAGUGCGGCCGGCGGCGGACCGGCCGCGGCCCCGGAGGCACCGACGGCCGGGCGGUUCAGCGCCGUCCGCUGUCGG